AUUGAACGCUGGCGGCAGGCCUAACACAUGCAAGUCGAGCGGAGCGGCGGACGGGUGAGUAAUGCCUAGGAAUCUGCCUGGUAGCGGGGGAUAACGUCCGGAAACGGGCGCUAAUACAGCAUACUAUCAGAUGAGCCUAGGCCGGAUUGGCUUGUUGGUGGGGUAAAGGCCUACCAAGGCGACGAUCCGUAACCGGUCUGAGAGGCUGAUCAGUCAAAUGGGAACUGAGACACGGUCCAGCCUCCUACGGACGGCAGCAGUGGGGAAUAUUGGCCAAUGGGCGAAAUCGUGAGCAAGCCAGGCCGCGUAUGUGAGGAAGGUCUGCGGAGUGUAAAGCACUUUAAGUUGGGAGGCGUUACCAACAGAAUAAGCACCGGCUAACUUCGUGCCAGCAGCCGCGGUAAUAC
rnacentral:rRNA from 1 species